rnacentral:rRNA from 1 species
AGAAAGUAGGCUUCGGCCUACCGGUACAGUGGCAGACGGGUGAGUAACACGUGGGUAACCUGCCCGGAGGUGGGGGAUAACCCUUCGAAAGGAGGGCUAAUACCGCAUAACACCUCGAUUACUUCGGUGAACGAGAUCAAAGCAUGCCUCUACAUGUAAGCUUGCGCCACCGGAGGGACCCGCGUCCCAUUAGCUUGUUGGUGAGGUAACGGCUCACCAAGGCUGCGAUGGGUAGCCGGCCGGAGAGGGUGAUCGGCCACACUGGAACUGAGACACGGUCCAGACUCCUACGGGAGGCAGCAGUGAGGAAUUUUGCGCAAUGGGCGAAAGCCUGACGCAGCGACGCCGCGUGGAGGAGGAAGGUCUUCGGAUCGUAAACUCCUGUCAAGAGGGAAGAAUUCAGGCGGAAUGAAUAAGUCCGUUUGUUGACGGUACCUCUGAAGGAAGCCCCGGCUAACUCCGUGCCAGCAGCCGCGGUAAUACGGAGGGGGCUAGCGUUGUUCGGAAUUAUUGGGCGUAAAGGGCGCGUAGGCGGCCCGGCAAGUCGGUCGUGAAAUCCCUCGGCUCAACCGAGGAACUGCGGCUGAUACUGCCGAGCUUGAGUCCCGGAGAGGGUAACGGAAUUCCCAGUGUAGCGGUGAAAUGCGUAGAUACUGGGAGGAACACCAGUGGCGAAGGCGGUUACCUGGACGGGUACUGACGCUGAGGCGCGAAAGCGUGGGGAGCAAACAAGAUUAGAU